CGAUACCGACCCAUUCCGCAUGCCCGAGCAUUUGCGCAACGACAUAGCCACAGUGGACAGUCUGUACCGCGGGCAGGACCACCACCACCACAACAACAACAACAACGAUGACGAUGCUGAUUCUCUGAUAAAAGCCACCCUGUGCUCGUUCAUAGAAGAUUUACUCAAGCUUCAUGGACCGUUGCACGUAUCAGGUCCCAUUCUUAUGGAAGAGAUAUUGAAUUUCCCUGUGGAAAGUUAGAGCCGUAGUAGACAGUGAGAAUGGAGGACUAGCAGAGAUGCUGCUGCAGUCUCUGCCGUUUACCCGUGUCCACUCGUACAUCUGCCUGCUCCGCGACAGUGUGCGCGCGCACGAACUCCACACGCGUGACCUCGCCGCGACCCA